rnacentral:lncRNA from 1 species
GGCAUUUUUUUUCUAAUCUGAUAUUUUAUAAUCUAAUACAUUGAAAAUCACUGCUGCUUAAAAAUUUCAUUUUCUUCUGCCAUUAGAGAAUAUUUCCUUAGUUACACUUAUAAUCUAUAAUGGAGCUUAUUGCUGAAGAUAUUUGAGUAUUCCUCUUAACUCAUUCAUUUUUCUCUCUGCUAUAUGUCUUAGAACUUAUUCAGCAAGUAUGCUGGUCAUAGGACUACCUGUUGGUACUCUCUUGGGUGUGUAUAGAAUUUACCUUCAAAUUAAGAAUAUGAUUUGUAAUGCAUAGUAUUGGCUAGGUUCCUAAAGCUUUUUGCUGUAUCUUUUUUCUAACAGAAAUCUGUAAAAUAGGAGGCAUACUGGAGGGAAGUUUAGAGAUGGGUAUAAGCUCUGAAAAUCCAUUGUUAUCAUUACUUGUCCUGUUUCUGUUUUUACUUUGCAAUUUUCUUACAAAUUCUUAAAGAUGAUUGAACAAUGCUGUCAUAAUAUUUCAUAUUUCUCAUGCACCAUUUGGCUGCAGAUUUCUCUAUGUUAUAUAGAGGUGAUUGUCUCUUUUCUACAAUUGUGCAUAUUUUAUAUGAUUUCUUAUGUGUUUUUAAAUAUCCAAAUAACCUGGGACAUACUGGAUUGCUAACUUUUCUAACCAAACAUCCUAAUAAGCACAGGCUCCCCUGGUGGUUGAAUUUUGUAUUGACUGCCAAUUAAUGGUUGUUUUUGGUUUUAUACUAUGGU